AAUCAUCAUGCCCCUUAUGACCUGGGCUACACACGUGCUACAAUGGAUGGUACAACGAGUUGCGAACUCGCGAGAGUAAGCUAAUCUCUUAAAGCCAUUCUCAGUUCGGAUUGUAGGCUGCAACUCGCCUACAUGAAGUCGGAAUCGCUAGUAAUCGCGGAUCAGCAUGCCGCGGUGAAUACGUUCCCGGGCCUUGUACACACCGCCCGUCACACCAUGAGAGUUUGUAACACCCAAAGUCGGUGGGGUAACCUUUUAGGAACCAGCCGCCUAAGGUGGGACAGAUGAUUAGGGUGAAGUCGUAACAAGGUAGCCGUAGGAGAACCUGCGGUUGGAUCAC
rnacentral:rRNA from 2 species